rnacentral:lncRNA from 1 species
AUCUAGUAAACCUACAAAAUCGAAUUUGAUUAGAUAAAACUCAGAGCCCAUUAAAGUAAAUGCAAUAUAGUGGUCUAACUCUAAGAAGUGGCUUGGAGCCAUUAAAUCCAAAUUGAAGUCCAUAAAAAUCAAUAGUGUAUGGACACUAGAUGAUUCACCUAAAGGAAUAAAAUCAAUUGGGUGUGAAUGAAUUUUUCAAAAAGAUCAGAGUAGCAC